rnacentral:rRNA from 1 species
GUCCAAAUCAGGGGGAGGAAGAACCCUAGCUACCCCGCCCCCACCUCGUCGCAUCCCCUCUCUCCCCCACUAUCUUCGCCGUCGCCGCCACCUCCCCCUCCGGCCUCCGUCCGCGAGGCAGCCCCCCUCCCUCCCCCCUCCGCGCUCCAGUAUUUCUUGCCGGGAGCAGCGACGGUAGCCGCCGCCCCAAUCGAGCGGGAGAGAGGGGAUCAGGACAGCGGGCGGGGGAGGAAGAGCGAGGUCCUCGAGCGGAGCACUGCAGAGGGCGAGGAGGAGCAGGAUGGUUUCGCUGUCGACGUGGUUCCGCUACGCCGCCCACAAGUUCGAGUACUCCAUCUCCCUCUCCUGGAAGAAGUACACCGUCGGGCAGAUCAACAGCACUGAGAUGACUGACGCCAUAUGGAAGAGCUUCUUCCAGGGCAAGCUCACCUUCCCGCAGUGGAUCAAAGGGGGCGAAGCCAUGGCCCCUGUCGUGGCUCCGACCGGAGGAACCGUCCUCGUCAGAAAGCUCGCCACUUUGUCCCCAAAAGAACUCUUUGUUGGGGACAUCGUCUUGUUGAAGGACCCAGAGAAAUCCGAUGAUUUAAUUGUCCGACGACUGGCUGCAGUGCAAGGCUAUGAGAUGGUCUCUACUGAUGAGAAGGAUGAGCCCUUUGUACUUGACAAGGACGAAUGCUGGGUCAUGGCAGAUAACCAAGAACUAAAGGCAAAGGAAGCUAGGGACAGCCGCCUAUUUGGGCCGGUCCCUAUGACUGAUAUUGUUGGCAGAGUUAUAUACUCUUUAAGAACUGCUGUUGAUCAUGGCCCAGUGGACAACAGCCGUGUAGCCAUGUUCCAGGAUUCGCCGGUUUUGGCGGUAGAGCUCGACGUGGAAGAGAUGGUGAAGAACAAUAAAAUGUAGAUAAUGACAUCCUGUGGUGUAUCAUUUCCCUUGCGCGGAUUUUUUAAAAUUUGUCGCUUCAAGUAGAAACUGCACGUGGAUGAUUGUUAUUCGAUGUUCGCUUGUGAUGUGGUGAAGUCAAUAAUAUCUCAUCAUAAGAAAUAAGCACACAUGUUUGCUGAAUUCUGAUCAUCCCUGGGUCUGGGU